GUGCUCACUUUGGCAGCACGUACACUAAAAUUGGAAUGAUACAGAGAUUAGCAUGGCCCCUGCGCAAGGAUGACACACAAAUUUGUGAAGUGUUCCAUAUUAAA